rnacentral:tRNA from 1 species
GGGGAUGUGGCUCAGUGGUAAGGUUCUUGCCUUGCAUACAGAUGGCCCUGGGUUCCAUCCCCAGCACCGCCA